rnacentral:rRNA from 1 species
CCUACGGGGGGCUGCAGUGGGGAAUAUUGGACAAUGGGGGGAACCCUGAUCCAGCCAUGCCGCGUGUGUGAAGAAGGCCCUCGGGUUGUAAAGCACUUUCAGUGAGGAAGAACGCCUGGUGGUUAAUACCCAUCAGGAAAGACAUCACUCACAGAAGAAGCACCGGCUAACUCCGUGCCAGCAGCCGCGGUAAUACGGAGGGUGCGAGCGUUAAUCGGAAUUACUGGGCGUAAAGCGCGCGUAGGUGGCUUGAUAAGCCGGUUGUGAAAGCCCCGGGCUCACCCUGGGAACGGCAUCCGGAACUGUCAAGCUAGAGUGCAGGAGAGGAAGGUAGAAUUCCCGGUGUAGCGGUGAAAUGCGUAGAGAUCGGGAGGAAUACCAGUGGCGAAGGCGGCCUUCUGGACUGACACUGACACUGAGGUGCGAAAGCGUGGGUAGCAAACAGGAUUAGAUACCCUUGUAGUC